ACUACAAAAGCAGCAACAUAAACUAACACUCAGUUGGCAAGUUAUGUGUCUUUUCAACGGCCGAUCUUCUAGCUUAGAAUAAAAGGGCAAUUCUGUGGUAGGGGAAGUCGACCCUCCUGCUACAAUUAUGUGAAUUGCAAAACGCAUCAUUCCAGUGACAAUGUUACCCAACUUUUUACAUUCAACACCAACUUGGCUUUUACUUAUUAUAUCUGCAUGCAGUUCAUAGUAGCUACAGAAGAAAUAAGUUCAUAAAAUUCAUUACUUAAUUUAAGUAAGCUUAUGUCAAAUGAAAGCAAUAUUUAGGAAAUUGAGAUUUACUAGCCUUGUAGUAUUUAUUAUUUUAAAACCACACAUGCAUAACUCUCCCCUUUAACUUAUUUCCCCAUUUUUCUAUUCUUUUUAGU